AUUGAACGCUGGCGGCAUGCUUUACACAUGCAAGUCGAACGGUAACAGGGUGCUUGCACCGCUGACGAGUGGCGAACGGGUGAGUAAUGCGUCGGAACGUGCCGAGUAGUGGGGGAUAACGCAGCGAAAGUUGUGCUAAUACCGCAUACGUACUGAGGUAGAAAGUGGGGGACCUUCGGGCCUCACGCUAUUCGAGCGGCCGACGUCGGAUUAGCUAGUAGGUGAGGUAAAGGCUCACCUAGGCGACGAUCAGUAGCGGGUCUGAGAGGAUGAUCCGCCACACCGGGACUGAGACACGGCCCAGGCUCCUACGGGAGGCAGCAGUGGGGAAUUUUGGACAAUGGGCGAAAGCCUGAUCCAGCCAUGCCGCGUGUCUGAAGAAGGCCUUCGGGUUGUAAAGGACUUUUGUCAGGGAGGAAAUCCCUAGUGCUAAUAACACUGGGGGAUGACAGUACCUGAAAAAUAAGCACCGGCUAACUACGUGCCAGCAGCCGCGGUAA
rnacentral:rRNA from 1 species